GGUUAAGCGACUAAGCGUACACGGUGGAUGCCCUGGCAGUCAGAGGCGAUGAAGGGCGUGCUAAUCUGCGAUAAGCGCCGGUAAGGUGAUAUGAACCGUUAUAACCGGCGAUACCCGAAUGGGGAAACCCAGUGUGAUUCGUCACACUAUCAUUAACUGAAUCCAUAGGUUAAUGAGGCGAACCGGGGGAACUGAAACAUCUAAGUACCCCGAGGAAAAGAAAUCAACCGAGAUUCCCCCAGUAGCGGCGAGCGAACGGGGAGGAGCCCAGAGCCUGAAUCAGCAUGUGUGUUAGUGGAAGCGUCUGGAAAGGCGCGCGAUACAGGGUGACAGCCCCGUACACAAAAGCGCAUGUGCUGUGAGCUCGAUGAGUAGGGCGGGACACGUGGUAUCCUGUCUGAAUAUGGGGGGACCAUCCUCCAAGGCUAAAUACUCCUGACUGACCGAUAGUGAACCAGUACCGUGAGGGAAAGGCGAAAAGAACCCCGGCGAGGGGAGUGAAAAAGAACCUGAAACCGUGUACGUACAAGCAGUGGGAGCNNNNNNNNNNNNNGGGCGUUAAGUUGCAGGGUAUAGACCCGAAACCCGGUGAUCUAGCCAUGGGCAGGUUGAAGGUUGGGUAACACUAACUGGAGGACCGAACCGACUAAUGUUGAAAAAUUAGCGGAUGACCUGUGGCUGGGGGUGAAAGGCCAAUCAAACCGGGAGAUAGCUGGUUCUCCCCGAAAGCUAUUUAGGUAGCGCCUCGUGAAUUCAUCUCCGGGGGUAGAGCACUGUUUCGGCUAGGGGGCCAUCCCGGCUUACCAACCCGAUGCAAACUGCGAAUACCGGAGAAUGUUAUCACGGGAGACACACGGCGGGUGCUAACGUCCGUCGUGAAGAGGGAAACAACCCAGACCGCCAGCUAAGGUCCCAAAGUCAUGGUUAAGUGGGAAACGAUGUGGGAAGGCCCAGACAGCCAGGAUGUUGGCUUAGAAGCAGCCAUCAUUUAAAGAAAGCGUAAUAGCUCACUGGUCGAGUCGGCCUGCGCGGAAGAUGUAACGGGGCUAAACCAUGCACCGAAGCUGCGGCAGCGACACUGUGUGUUGUUGGGUAGGGGAGCGUUCUGUAAGCCUGCGAAGGUGGCCUGUGAGGGUUGCUGGAGGUAUCAGAAGUGCGAAUGCUGACAUAAGUAACGAUAAAGCGGGUGAAAAGCCCGCUCGCCGGAAGACCAAGGGUUCCUGUCCAACGUUAAUCGGGGCAGGGUGAGUCGACCCCUAAGGCGAGGCCGAAAGGCGUAGUCGAUGGGAAACGGGUUAAUAUUCCCGUACUUGGUGUUACUGCGAAGGGGGGACGGAGAAGGCUAUGUUGGCCGGGCGACGGUUGUCCCGGUUUAAGCGUGUAGGUGUGUGUUCCAGGUAAAUCCGGUUCACUUUAACACUGAGGCGUGACGACGAGGCACUACGGUGCUGAAGCAACAAAUGCCCUGCUUCCAGGAAAAGCCUCUAAGCAUCAGGUAACAUCAAAUCGUACCCCAAACCGACACAGGUGGUCAGGUAGAGAAUACCAAGGCGCUUGAGAGAACUCGGGUGAAGGAACUAGGCAAAAUGGUGCCGUAACUUCGGGAGAAGGCACGCUGACACGUAGGUGAAGUGAUUUACUCAUGGAGCUGAAGUCAGUCGAAGAUACCAGCUGGCUGCAACUGUUUAUUAAAAACACAGCACUGUGCAAACACGAAAGUGGACGUAUACGGUGUGACGCCUGCCCGGUGCCGGAAGGUUAAUUGAUGGGGUCAGCGCAAGCGAAGCUCCUGAUCGAAGCCCCGGUAAACGGCGGCCGUAACUAUAACGGUCCUAAGGUAGCGAAAUUCCUUGUCGGGUAAGUUCCGACCUGCACGAAUGGCGUAAUGAUGGCCAGGCUGUCUCCACCCGAGACUCAGUGAAAUUGAACUCGCUGUGAAGAUGCAGUGUACCCGCGGCAAGACGGAAAGACCCCGUGAACCUUUACUAUAGCUUGACACUGAACAUUGAGCCUUGAUGUGUAGGAUAGGUGGGAGGCUUUGAAGUGUGGACGCCAGUCUGCAUGGAGCCGACCUUGAAAUACCACCCUUUAAUGUUUGAUGUUCUAACGUGGACCCGUUACCCGGGUUGCGGACAGUGUCUGGUGGGUAGUUUGACUGGGGCGGUCUCCUCCUAAAGAGUAACGGAGGAGCACGAAGGUUGGCUAAUCCUGGUCGGACAUCAGGAGGUUAGUGCAAUGGCAUAAGCCAGCUUGACUGCGAGCGUGACGGCGCGAGCAGGUGCGAAAGCAGGUCAUAGUGAUCCGGUGGUUCUGAAUGGAAGGGCCAUCGCUCAACGGAUAAAAGGUACUCCGGGGAUAACAGGCUGAUACCGCCCAAGAGUUCAUAUCGACGGCGGUGUUUGGCACCUCGAUGUCGGCUCAUCACAUCCUGGGGCUGAAGUAGGUCCCAAGGGUAUGGCUGUUCGCCAUUUAAAGUGGUACGCGAGCUGGGUUUAGAACGUCGUGAGACAGUUCGGUCCCUAUCUGCCGUGGGCGCUGGAGAACUGAGGGGGGCUGCUCCUAGUACGAGAGGACCGGAGUGGACGCAUCACUGGUGUUCGGGUUGUCAUGCCAAUGGCACUGCCCGGUAGCUAAAUGCGGAAGAGAUAAGUGCUGAAAGCAUCUAAGCACGAAACUUGCCCCGAGAUGAGUUCUCCCUGAGACUUAGAGUCUCCUGAAGGAACGUUGAAGACGACGACGUUGAUAGGCCGGGUGUGUAAGCGCAGCGAUGCGUUGAGCUAACCGGUACUAAUGAACCGUGAGGCUUAACCUUACAACGCCGAAG
rnacentral:rRNA from 1 species